rnacentral:lncRNA from 1 species
UGCAUUCCUUUCAAGAAGAAAAAAACUUCCUUCCUAAACAUGUGAAGAUAAAUUACAUUGUUAAAAUGAAGAUUAUUACAUCAUGUCCCUAAACCAAUUACAAUCCUGAUCAGGCUGUAUAAUACAAUGUCAGGUCAUAAGAUUUCAGACUAAGAAACAAACAACAAAGACAAACAAACUCUAAAGACACAACCACUGUGCUGCUACCCCGCUGCAGCACUAUACCCACCAGAAACUAUGCUGCUAUUGUAAUGUUACCUUGUAAUCUGCUUUGUCAAGGUAUCCCUACAUUACCUUCACUAUUGCUCUACCAUCAAUUUUUUCCAGUCCAGUAGCAAAUCCGAGAAGCCUAUAUCUUUCCUCAGUUCCACAUUUCUUGGUUUGGUGUUUAGCAAGACCAAAGAGUCCCCUUCCCUGAAGAUAGCGUCAUUUUGGACAAUCCUCAGCCUCCAAAUGAUGUUAUAAGGUAGUAUUUCCCAUAUGGCUGUAGCUAUACCUCUUGUAUUCAGGUCUGGCCUGUUCUCCAGUAGUUUUCUGGCAGAGAUCAAAACCCCAAAAUUGCUUCUAAAGGCUGUACAUACCCUCACACAGUUCUUCCCAUAUGCUUCUAGCAGUCACAUGAUAUGAAGAGGUGACUAGAAGAUUCUUCAGCACAUUUACACAAGAUGCAUUGGUUUGGUAAUAACAUACCUCGAGCUUGCAAUUUAUCAAUAGUCAAGAUCUUAUCCCAAUUCAAGCUCCAUACGAAAACUUUCACAAACAGUAAUAAAGCUGCAGCAAAAAACAAAAAAAUGGGCCAACUUGUAGGUGAACUACUGAAGAAGUAGAAACCGAAUAAAUGACAAGUAAAUAGUUGUGACUGACGCCCUUGAAGAAAAGAAAGAAGAGGCAGCAUACUGAGAUUAGUGAAGGAGCAAUACCGAAUGCAAAAUCCUCCUUGAGGCAGCUGAAUUGCCAGUAAGAAGUUUCUGAACAACAUAAGGAAAUGUGGCGUCAAGUGUCUUAAAAUCUUGAUCUGCAGCUACAGCGAAUGCUAAAAAGCACAAGAGUGAUAUUAGAAAGACAUUUUGUCAAUAGCCACAACUAUGCCAUUCCUUACGACUUCAUGUUGGUAAAUAAAUUCUCCUCGUUUACCAACCCUCACUAAAACCUGAUGAGUACAUUUUCUUAUUUACUUUAACUCAUAUAUCGAGUUCCAUAUAUAUGAAUUAAACCAAUCAACUUUUGGACUAGCAAGACAAGAGUUUCCUAGAGCAAAGUUAAUCUACUUGUAGACUAUUGGUGUUAAUUGGUAAACACUCCUAUUUGCAAAAGAAAAUUCCCAUGAGUCUGACAAGUAGUAUAAAAGUUACACUUUUUCAACUCCAAUUCAAAGGAUUUGAUCGUAUGCAAAUGCAACCCAAGGCAAUCCAACCAGUUUAUAUACAAGUGCUCUAAACUAUGAUAAUAGUGGUAAUUAAUAAUUCAAAUUAAAACAACUAACACAGUUCAUAACAAGGUAGAUUCAAUCCAGUUUCUUGUGUUGCACUCUAUACAGGUGAGAGUGUUACAUAGAGGAGGGGAGGUGUCAAUUCUCUUUUCCUCUAGAAGAGAGAGGUGUCAUCUUGAUAUAUCAACUUUAAUAGGCAUAGAGUAAAUUUAACCAAGUCAUAAACAGACUUGAAGACAAAGCCCAAAAUACAGACAUAUAUAGAUGAUGUACCAAAACAUGGCAAUGUUUAUGUAGCAUGGAAAUAACUUGGUAAAGCAUAGUAGCGCAUAUAUUUUUUUAUAAAAGCUAUAGUUAUAUUAAUCUCCAAAAUAAGUUUAAAACAUAUAAUCAGUACACCAAGGAAAUAGAGUUGUGUACACUAUGGAAAAACAAAACUUGCUGACCCCUUCCUUGAUUGUAGUCUCUUGCUUCGGCCACUACUAGUCCCCUGUCCCCUUGCUACUGCUUCUGCACUUCUUGGACUAACUGAAUUAGUGAAUUGACAGUAAUCUGCAGCAUUUAUAUACUCUUAACCAAUUGUGCAUGUAUCUUUAUAAUUAUGUUCAUUUGUCGCUUGGUGCUAAGUAGCACCCAUAUGAUGAAGAUCCAACGUUGGCGAUAGACCCAAGUGAUGAAGGAUAAUUAUUGCUCGUAGCAUGGCGAAACGAUGUAUAAUAUUCGUCAUUUCCGGAAGGUGUGCGGUAGUGAUAGCACUCUGGAUAAAUAGGAUAUUGGGGAGGACAAUCUUUGCUAUUAGUAUGACGAUCCGAUGAAUAACAUUCGUCGUUUUCAGAAGGUGUGAGGUAGUAAUACUCUGGAAAAAAAAAAUGGGGAUUGGGGAUUAUUGAUUGAAGAGUAAUCUUUGCUUUUAGAAUAGCGAUCCGAUGAAUAAUAUUCAUCGUUUUCAGAGCGUGCGGUAGUGGUGGUAAUACUCUGGAAAAAUGGGAUAUUGGGGAAUAUUGCUUGAACUAGGUUUGUCAGAGUUCACUACUAGAAGCUCUUCGGAUGUUGUUUUCUUUUUCCCCUUGUUUUGCUUCUUACCUGGUUAUUGGUUAAUAAACAAAGAAGAAAGGGUGAACUUCGAGAUGGUUUAUGAGGCCUGUGUUGUCGCACCCUUAUAAUUCCACAUGCCCAAUAUAUUCAAAAGAUGUGGGUUGGGUUUUGAAAAUUUUAAUGUUUUAUGAAUCAACACUGGGCUUAUACUAAUAAACAACCCAAGCCUAUUUCGCAGUCAGACCCAAACCAAUAAAAAAAACCAUGUAAACACGUGUUUACACGUGCAAAUUUCCACAUAUAUAUAUAUAUAUAUUACUUUAUAAAGGCACCUCAAUUUCGAGGUGGUUUGCGAAGCCUUAGCUGUCAAGUACCUAUAUUUCCACGUGUUAGAUUUUACAGAUUUAAAUGUCCACACAAAACCAAAAUUAUAAUUUAGUUUAUAGACCCAACAGUUUUUGGACCUUUACAUUCGACGCCCAUAUCGGUUUGCUCCAGUAUAAACAUAGACCCGCCUAUUUUGGUUCUUAAGUAUGUGCAUGUUACAGGCCCAAGCCCAUUUAAGACUUAAAUUUUUAACCCAACUUAACUAUGUAAAAUCUAACACGUGUCAGGUACUUGACAGCUAAGGGCCUAAGGCUUCGCAAACCACCUCGAAAAUUGAGGCGCCUUUAUAAAGUAGUGUAUUAUAUACACUAUGUGAAUGUGCACGUGUAUACACGUGUUUUACAGGGUUUUUUUUUAUUGGUUUGGGCCUAACUGUGAAGUACGUCUAGGUUGUUUAUUAGUAUACGCCCAGUGUUGAUUCAUAAAGCCUUAAAAUUUUAAAACCCAACCCACAUUUUUUGAAUAUAUUGGACACAUGGAAUUAUAAGGGUGUGACAACACAUGCCUCAUAAACCAUCUCAAAGUUCACCCCUCUUUAAAGUAACUAUGUGAAUGCUAAUGCGUGCUAUUAAAGAAAGAGAGUAUUGUGGAUAUGGGCCUGGGUUUGUAAUGGGGUAAAUUAAUAUACGCGUGGAGUUACCAUCUCGAUUUGGGGGCGCUAUUAUAAAGUAGUAGAGAUAAUAAUAAUGAUAUAAAAAGAACAUGUUACACAUGCACAAUCACAUAGUNNNNNNNNNNNNNNNNNNNNNNNNNNNNNNNNNNNNNNNNNNNNNNNNNNNNNNNNNNNNNNNNNNNNNNNNNNNNNNNNNNNNNNNNNNNNNNNNNNNNGGGCUUCUAUAGUAUAGGAGGAUAGCAGGUAUCACGUAGAAGAGAGAUCUCGGUAAUUCCUCCAGCAAGGCGAGAAGCGAGAGAGAGGUCGAGUCCGCUUCCAUCAUCAAGCUAGAGAGCAAGACAGGGAUGCAUCGGUCAUUUCAGAGUUGAUCCAUCGUCAAAGUCAGAUCGAGAUCCUGGUGAUGCUAACGAUGCUGGUAUGAGUCACGAAACUGAAAGUAGCGCCGAAAUCUAGCCAUCGGUCAAUGUCUGUCCUUCCUGGUUGAUGUACGUAGUUCAUGAGCAAUCCCGAAGAUCUUACUAGACAACAUAAUUUGGUGUGUUAGAUUUGGUCAACUUUGGUUGACCGUUGGUCUUUGACGGAGUCAAACGGUUAAAAGGUGGAGUGACAAAUUUUUGGCAAACAUAGAGUGUAUUAACAGGGUGUACCAGCAAAAUGGCCCUAGUUUAUAUAUAUCGGCCAUACGUAAGCUUAAUUAAUUAAACCUAACUCAGAAAGUAAUAGUAAUUAGUAAGUAAUACACAUACAUAACUCGAAAGUAACCCAGUAUGUAUGCAUGAUAAUAACUAAAAGAGUAAUAGGGAAUAAGUAAUAAGCAAGAAGUAGAAGGAUAACCCUUACGGCCUUACCCUUACCACUUAGCCAACUCUUAAGACCCAUUAUAUCUCCUUCUUCAAGAACAACUAUAUGAAAGGCAGAGGUCUGCUGAUCUACAUUAAUAAGAAAAAAAAAACUUAUUAGAAAUGUACAAUUUGUUUCUACUUUCUCGCAUUUUAAUAAUCCAUGUACAAGUCGACCUAAUUACUUUGUUCCCUUCUAAAAAAAAAUUCAAAUUUAACUAAAAUGCCUUCUGAUUAAUGCAAAAUAUAGUAGACACUAAUGGAGGGUAUGGUUCAAAAUGGCAUAAAACAAAAAGAGAGGGGAGAAGCAUUGGAUUAGAGAGAAAAUUUAUACCUGAAGCGAGAGAUCCAGAUCAGAACUGCUCAGUUGUUGGUGAAAGUGAAACGAUCUAAGUUAAUAAGCCCUAGUGGACACUCAGUAGUCAGUAGACUAAAAGAUUGGGCCAGGAGAGAGGUUUAGUAAGUGGGCUGCAUUUUCAUUUUGCACUUUGUUGGAGUAAUCAAAAAUUCAAAACAACCAGAACCUUUUCUUGCAAAUGCAAAGUGAUCAGCUUUGAGUUAUUGCUACGUACAGUAAUUUGCUAUCACAAUCUUGGGUUCUUGGUUUCUUACUUAACAUUCUCUAGUAGCUCUUGCUCUUUUCACUUCUUCAGAUUUGUGAAAAU